UACGUAGGGUGCAAGCGUUGUCCGGAAUUAUUGGGCGUAAAGAGCGUGUAGGCGGCUUGGCAAGUCUUGCGUGAAAUCCUGCGGCUCAACCGCAGGCGGUCGCAGGAAACUGCCUCGCUAGAGUCCGGAAGAGGAGAGCGGAAUUCCUGGUGUAGCGGUGGAAUGCGCAGAUAUCAGGAAGAACACCCGUGGCGAAGGCGGCUCUCUGGGACGGUACUGGACGCUGAGACGGCGAAAGCCGUGGGGAGCGAACAGG
rnacentral:rRNA from 1 species